CAACUCGAAGAACAUCAUCAAGU
rnacentral:siRNA from 1 species